GACGGAGGGUGCUAGCGUUGUUCGGAAUGACUGGGCGUAAAGGGCGCGUAGGCGGCCUGAUAAGUAGGGGGUGAAAUCCUGCGGCUUAACCGCAGGGCUGCCUUCUAAACUGUCAGGCUGGAGCACAGUAGAGGCAGGUGGAAUUCCCGGUGUGGCGGUGGAAUGCGUAGAGAUCGGGAAGAACAUCAGUGGCGAAGGCGGCCUGCUGGGCUGUUGCUGACGCUGAGGCGCGACAGCGUGGGGAGCAAACAGG
rnacentral:rRNA from 1 species